rnacentral:lncRNA from 12 species
AUGCCUCGCCCUGUGUGUGUCCGGGAUGGGUCUGCUUUGGUGCACUCCGACUUCUCCCUAAAAGCCCAGGGCGGGGAGACGGACGCCCUCCCGAGAGCCUCAGGACUGCCGGCCCCUCCCGCCCGCCUCGCGCCUCCCGCGCCUCGGAGGCCGCCGCCGCGGAGAGGCUGGCACAGCACGGUGGGCAGCGGUCCCCGCCGGGCAGGCCCCGCCCCCGGCUCCCCGGCCCCGCCCCCGGGCUCCCGUGGGGCGCCGCGGCUUCCGGCUGUGGGCCGCGCGGGCCGGAAGUAUAGCGUUGCCAUGGCGAGGGCCGGGCGCGGGACCCGCCCCCCCGGCGCCCAGAGGAGCGCGGGGCGGCGGGAGCGGUGGCCGGGAUCCGGCCGGCUGCGCGGCGGAAGGUGCGGCGCGGACUUCCGGGGCUCGCGGCGGGGGAGGGCGGGGGCGCGGGGUGCCCCCGGGUCGGGCGCGGCCGAUGUGCCUGCGGACUGGUGGUUCCUGCGACCUGCGGGUCAGGUGCCGGCACGUGGUUGAGGAGAUGGACGGGGCGUGUGCCCUCAACACGCUUGGCCUCUAGUGAAAGAGACAGGCCGGGACAAAUAGUGCUGUGUCUGGUGUCCAACCUCCGCCGGCUCGGGAAGCUGCUGGAGGCGCCUGUGGCCUGUGCCCGUGAGGGAGUGGGCCGUGGUGGCAUGGGAGUCUUCCAAGGUGAGCCAGUCUGCGGGAAGGGCGAGCACGAGGGGUGGGGCCUGGCUCGGCCCGGAAUGGGGGCAUCAUGCUGUGUCUGCACCGACGGACAAACCGGGACUGCGUCGGCCCCGUGCCAGGGUUUCCCAGGCACCGUCCCGGCACCUUCCUUGUUACUCUGUACAAUGGGAACAUGUACUUUCCCAGAGCGAGAGGCGUCUAGGGUUCUCCCAUUUUUUGCUCUUGUACAUAAUGCCACAAAUAAAACCGGCUCUUUGAUUGCA